rnacentral:rRNA from 1 species
GGGAUUGCCUCAGUAACGGCGAGUGAAGCGGCAACAGCUCAAAUUUGAAAUCUGGCUCUUUCAGGGUCCGAGUUGUAAUUUGUAGAGAGUGCUUCGGGUGAGUCCGCGGUCUAAGUCCAUUGGAACAUGGCGUCAUAGAGGGUGAGAAUCCCGUAUGUGACUGUGGAUCGAGCCCAUGUGAAGCCUCUUCGACGAGUCGAGUUGUUUGGGAAUGCAGCUCAAAAUGGGUGGUAAAUUUCAUCUAAAGCUAAAUACUGGCUGGAGACCGAUAGCGCACAAGUAGAGUGAUCGAAAGAUGAAAAGCACUUUGGAAAGAGAGUCAAAUAGUACGUGAAAUUGUUGAAAGGGAAGCGCUUGCAACCAGACCUGUCCGUAGGUGAUCAGCCGCUGUUCUCAGUGGUGCACUCGCUCUGCGAUCAGGCCAGCAUCGGUUCUGGCGGCCGGAUAAAGGCCUUGGGAAUGUAGCUCCUUUCGGGGAGUCUUAUAGCCCUCGGUGCAAUGCGGCCAGCCGGGACCGAGGACCGCGCUUCGGCUAGGAUGCUGGCGUAAUGGUUGU